rnacentral:rRNA from 1 species
AUUGAACGCUGGCGGCAUGCCUUACACAUGCAAGUCGAACGGCAGCACGGGUGCUUGCACCUGGUGGCGAGUGGCGAACGGGUGAGUAAUAUAUCGGAACGUACCUUAUUGUGGGGGAUAACGCAGCGAAAGCUGUGCUAAUACCGCAUAAUCCCUAAGGGGGAAAGCGGGGGACCGUAAGGCCUCGCGCAAUUAGAGCGGCCGAUACCUGAUUAGCUAGUUGGUGAGGUAAAGGCUCACCAAGGCAACGAUCAGUAGCUGGUCUGAGAGGACGAUCAGCCACACUGGGACUGAGACACGGCCCAGACUCCUACGGGAGGCAGCAGUGGGGAAUUUUGGACAAUGGGGGCAACCCUGAUCCAGCAAUGCCGCGUGAGUGAAGAAGGCCUUCGGGUUGUAAAGCUCUUUUGUCAGGGAAGAAACAGCAGCUCUAACACAGUUUGCGAAUGACGGUACCUGAAGAAUAAGCACCGGCUAACUACGUGCCAGCAGCCGCGGUAA